rnacentral:rRNA from 1 species
UAGGGAAUCUUCCGCAAUGGACGAAAGUCUGACGGAGCAACGCCGCGUGAGUGAAGAAGGAUUUCGGUUCGUAAAACUCUGUUGUUAGGGAAGAAAAAAUGUAUAGUAACUAUAUACAAAAGAGACGGUACCUAACCAGAAAGCCACGGCUAACUACGUGCCAGCAGCCGCGGUAAUACGUAGGUGGCAAGCGUUGUCCGGAAUUAUUGGGCGUAAAGCGCGCGCAGGUGGUUUAGAAAGUCAGAUGUGAAAGCCCACGGCUCAACCGGGGAGAGUCAUUGGAAACUAAUAAACUUGAGUGCAGGGGAGUAAAGUGGAAUUCCUAGUGUAGCGGUGAAAUGCGUAGAGAUUAGGAGGAACACCGGUGGCGAAAGCGGCUUUUUGGCCUGCAACUGACACUGUGGCGCGAAAGCGUGGGGAGCAAACAGG